rnacentral:rRNA from 1 species
UGGUGGAGUGGUUUGUCUGGUUAAUUCCGAUAACGAACGAGACCUUAACCUGCUAAAUAGUUACAAGAAUCUUGUGAUUCUUGGCUAACUUCUUAGAGGGACUAUUGAUGUUUAAUCAAUGGAAGUUUGAGGCAAUAACA